rnacentral:rRNA from 1 species
UAGGGAAUUUUGGGCAAUGGGCGAAAGCCUGACCCAGCAACGCCGCGUGUGGGAUGAAGGCCCUCGGGUCGUAAACCACUGUCAGGAGGAAAGAAAAGUCGGCCGGAUAAUACUCGGUCGACCUGACGGUACCUCCAAAGGAAGCACCGGCUAACUCCGUGCCAGCAGCCGCGGUAAUACGGAGGGUGCAAGCGUUGUUCGGAAUUACUGGGCGUAAAGCGCGUGUAGGUGGUCGAGUAAGUCGAAUGUGAAAGCCCCGGGCUCAACCCGGGAAGUGCAUCCGAAACUGCUCGACUAGAGUCCCGGAGAGGAAGGCAGAAUUCCCAAUGUAGGGGUGAAAUCCGUAGAUAUUGGGAGGAAUACCGGUGGCGAUGGCGGCCUUCUGGACGGUGACUGACACUCAGACGCGAAAGCGUGGGGAGCAAACAGGAUUAGAUACCCGAGUAGUCCCUGAGCGGGCUGGCAAGGCGCAU